UACAGAGGUCCCAAGCGUUGUUCGGAUUCACUGGGCGUAAAGGGUGCGUAGGCGGUCGGGUAAGUCUGUUGUGAAAUCUCCGAGCUUAACUCGGAAACUGCAGUGGAUACUAUCCGGCUCGAGGAAUGGAGGGGAGACUGGAAUACUUGGUGUAGCAGUGAAAUGCGUAGAUAUCAAGUGGAACACCAGUGGCGAAGGCGAGUCUCUGGACAUUUCCUGACGCUGAGGCACGAAAGCCAGGGGAGCAAACGGG
rnacentral:rRNA from 1 species